CCACAGGCUGUAGCUGAUAUGUCACAAAAAAGCUGAUAAGUCUCUCCUUCUCUCUUCUGUGUCUGGAUGUACCACGUGUUUUUCCUUUUCCUCUUCUCUUCUUUUUUUCAUUCUAUUUCCCUGUUAACUUUUCAUCCACACUACCAUCUCCCUCAGAUCCAGAAGUACACAAGCCUGUUGGUAUGGAGGAGAAGCUCCGGAGGCCCUUCUUCUCUGCUUCACUCAGCUCGCCCUCACCUCGUAGUAACCCUACUCGAAGGCGACCAAUCAAACAUGACUCUUGGGAUGUGGAGGAUGGAUUCGAUGAUGCUUUCUCAAGCAACGUGGAUGUAGAGAUGGAGACCGACUGGCCGAGUCCCGCUCCGAACCCAUCUCUGACGAUGCAGCUCUGAGUCCCCAGGAGGUCUCAAAUGAGAAUCUGUUGUCUAUCAGCAACAACGAAUUUGAGUAACACACACCGGCAAUAGCAGCCCAACUUACAGCCGCACAGAAAUUAGACAUAAAUCCUACAACGGGUCCCAAGACCAACACAGCAUACAUCACUGAACAGACAAAACAUAUCACAUUUCCUGGUGCACAAUCUGAAUCAGAGAGGCUCUAUUUGAU